GCUGGUCAUGGAGAUAAUCUUUUAGCAACGGACUUCAAACAUUUAGGUAGUGGUUCAGGAUUGGGACUGGUGAGACCAGCCACGAUGAAGAUUUAAAAUUUCUGAUUAAUUGUUUAAACAGGAUGCUAUUGUGAAGAUAGAAUGGUUCUCCAGGUCCUGACUCUGUUUCAAUUGAGCAUCCAUCAACAUUCAAAGUUUGUUGCAGCUGUAAUUGCUUUGUUAUUAGUUUUGUUUCUUGUAAUGUAGCCGCAGUAAUGCGAGUUGAUAAUGGAUAUGUAAUGUACGGAUAUUUAAUGUGCAUACAUAAUUUCUUUAUACAACUGUAAUACAUGGGUNCCUCAAUUCCCUUCCCUUCCCUUCCCUUCGCUUCGCGAUGCAAAUGGAUUCCCUCCCUAACGGCAGCUUCGCCGUCUCCGCCUCAGCCGCCACCAACCCAAUUAACCCG
rnacentral:misc_RNA from 1 species